rnacentral:rRNA from 1 species
AGAAUCAACGCUGGCGGCGUGCCUAACACAUGCAAGUCGAACGCGAAAGGGGAGCAAUCCCUGAUUAGAGUGGCAAGCGGGUGAGUAACACGUGGGUGACCUGCCUUCGAGUGGGGGAUAACCUUCCGAAAGGAGGGCUAAUACCGCAUGACAUACCGUGUUUGGAUACACGGAUAUCAAAGCCGGGGAUCGCAAGACCUGGCGCUUGGAGAGGGGCCCGCGUCCGAUUAGCUAGUUGGUGGGGUAACGCUCACCAAGGCUCCGAUCGGUA